AAAUUUGGACUAAAUUUUUCAUAUUUUGUUUUCCACUGAAAUAUUUUUGGUAGUACUAUAAUAUUUAAAGUUAAGAUUUUAUUUUUUAGUCAACAUAAUUUUGCAUAUUUUCUGUUGGUUUUAUCUAAUUUUUCGUUCAGAUAAUCGUAUGGCACACACUACAAAAAUAUUGAAAAAUGCUUAAAAAUGAUAAAAGACACCAUAUCUCAAAAUUUUGAUCAUUGACCUUAUAUGAAUUUUAUGCCAGCAGAGAAAGAUCAAUAUACUUAGUUUAAUACUAUAAAUGUUUUAGCAUUAUCAUCAUUCAGUUUUUUGUUAUAUUGAAUCAAAAAUGGGUAGUAAUUUGAGAACUGAUAGAGGAAAUUCGGACUAGAAUAUCUAUAAAAAUUGUGAAUGAAAACUUAAUGCUUUGUAUCUAUUUAAUGUCACUACCAUUCAUUUACUGUAUUUCAUUUGUUUAAGAGUUAAGCAAUUUGUAUUAUUUUCACAAUUAAGAAAAUCUCAAUCAUAGUGUAAAAUUUUUCUGGAUUUUUCUAAAAUUUUCAAAAUAUAUUCAAUGGCCAUUAACUAAAAAAUUAGGUCAUUGACCUACUUUUUGGAAAGUGGAGAAUAACUCUACCAUGUAAGGUCUAUAACGCACAAUAGUUGGUUUUUCAUUAUCAUCAGUGGAAUUUUUUUUCAUUCUGAGUAAACGUCAGGAUAGUUGCAGUUAAAAACCAAAACUUUGAACAAAAAAAACCAAAAAAAAAAACACCAUGAAGAAUGAAAAGUUGCAGUAUGGUAUUAUCUAAAUAGAUGUUAAUUUUAAAAUAUUUCUUGCGAUUCCUCAUAUUAUCGUCUAUAGAUAUAUAUUAUCGUAUAUGUAUACUGAUUGUUUAAUCAACGGUGCUCCUAUUUUUUGAUAGCUAUUAUAGGUAAACGUUAGAGGUUAUUCCUCACGCCAGUUAUGUGUUUCAGGGUAUAAAGAAGUCAUCCCGGGUGGAGGCUUUUCAGUGGCAGAACUGUGGCAAUAACGACCCCGCCACUGUGAUGAGCCUAUCCGUGACCCCUGACCCCUUACAGUUCCCUGGUACUGUCAACAUCGCUGGCAAGCUCCAGUUCAACUCGUCGUUUGCAGCACCACUUCCGGUAAGAUGUUACUACGCCAUAACGCUGGAUAAUUCUUACAUAAAGAUUACCAAAUGAGAUUAAAGAAUUACACAUCUUUCUUUAUUUAUAUUUUCCACAAUUUAGAAAGUAUUUAAAAAGUAUUUUAAUGUAGGCUAGUCUCGUGAUAUCCAAAAAAGCCGCCGGAGUUUGGAUCAAGCUCCCCUGUAUAGACAACUUUGGGUCAUGUGACUACCCCGACCUGUGUCAGAUCCUGAGUAGCGUAGGUGACUGUCCCGAUCCGAUUACUUCCUCUGGUCUGGGAUGCCAGUGCCCCUUCAAAUCCGUAAGUAUACCGCAUCACUUACUAGUACUAAACGCAAACGGGAUGGAUUUCCAUGCUUCAUGGCUCGCGCGGUUUGAUGGUUCGAGUAAUUUGAUGGCUCGCGGAAUAAAUUUGAAAUAUUACUUGGUGGUUUCUACUUGUUACCUGCAUUAUUUAUGAAAACACAAAAAACCAGGCGCGAAAUCACGUAAAAUAAAGCCUAAUUGCGGCGUGAUCUGGUUUUUUUAAAAUGUUGAUUAAGGUACCAUUCAUUUUUAUCCUGAACACGAUAAAAAAAAGAAUAAUUUGUUUUUAUUCCAGGGAACCUUUGAUGUAAAUGGCGUGUCUUUUGAUGUGGAUGCUUCUGCCUUCCCGUCCGGAGAUUACAAAAUCAGGGGAUCUUUGACGACAGCAGGAAAAGAGGCAGCCUGUGUCGAGAUUAUCAUUACCAUCAGUUAAUAUCAUUUCAUUUAUAUAAUAAACUUGAUUUAU
rnacentral:misc_RNA from 1 species